CCGACUAAGAUUAACGAGAUAGACCGAGAUGAAAUAAUUUUAUAUAAAAUAUAUAUAUAUAUCAGGACCUACGGGCUAAGGGACAGUAUCAGAUAGACAGUUUCUAUGGGGCGUAGGCCUCCCAAAACGUAAUGGAGGCAUGCAAAGGUUUCCUCGGGCCGGACGAAGAUUGGCCCUCAGGUGCAAAGGCAGAAGGGAGCUUGACUACAAGACCCACCCGUCGAGCAGGGACGAAAGUCGGCCUUAGUGAUCUGACGGUGCCGAGUGGAAGGGUCGUCGCUCAACGGAUAAAAAUUACUCUAGGAAUAACAGGUUGAUCUUCCCCAAUAGCUCACAUCGACGGGAAGGUUUGACACCUCGAUGUCGGCUCUUCGCCACCUGGGGCUGUAGUAUGUUCCAAGGGUUGGGCUGUUCGCCCAUUAAAACGCUACGUGAACAUAUAUAUCAUUGAAUUA
rnacentral:ncRNA from 1 species